CGGGACGGGUGAGUAACGCGUGGGUAACCUGCCUUAUACUGGGGGAGUAACAGCCAGAAAUGGCUGCUAAUACCGCAUAAGCGCACAGCUUCGCAUGGAGCAGUGCGAAAAACUACCGGUGGUAUGAGAUGGACCCGCGUCUGAUUAGCUAGUUGGUAAGGUAACGGCUUACCAAGGCGACGAUCAGUAGCCGACCUGAGAGGGUGACCGGCCACAUUGGGACUGAGACACGGCCCAAACUCCUACGGGAGGCAGCAUG
rnacentral:rRNA from 1 species